rnacentral:lncRNA from 1 species
CUUUUACCACUUAUCCUUAACUUUUCCAUGAAAUUGUGAAUGGUUAAUUUUCCUCAAUCUUUUAUUAAAUUAAUUGUAUAAAAUAACAUAAAAUUUUAUGAGGAUUAAACUAUUCCUAAUUGUAAAUUAUUUGCCCUCUUAGUUUUAUUGAUUAAUGUUAUAUGCAACCCGUGUUCAUGGUUUCUUAAUAGUGUCCCUCAUCUAACCAAAAUCCUAGUUUCGCCCUGUAUGAAAUGCUUAAAAACAUAGUAAUAAACUAUUAAUCAAAAUGUAUCUAUCAUAUCUUCUAUAUGAAAAGAAAACAAUAUAGAAUUUUAAUUACUAUGAGAAUAAGAGAAUCAAUGUGAGUUUCACGCAUGACUCAUCAAUCCAAGAUCGAAAAAGUACAUAAAAAUAAGGAAAAAAAUUGCAAGGAGCAAUAUUUGUCCCUAGCUACUAGACACUUUUGGUCUCAUGUUAUGAGACUAAUUUGAUUUCCAAACACAUUAUUUGAUAUUUCCAUCAUUAAAAAUAACAAAUAAUAAUAAACUUUUUGGAUAAUUUAAGAGGCUUCAAAGGAGAGUAGAAGAUAACAAGAUUUUCUUGUGCCUAUAAUUAAAUUUAUAGCGAAACGACAAGUGAAAUCAAAGCCGAUUAAAAUUAACCUUUUAAUUAUAUGUAAUCAAAUAAAACGAAGAAAAGGAAAUCAAAUUCAAGUUACGAACUUUUGUUCCCACAAGUAUUGUCAGUUAUUUGUUUUAAAUAUUUGUUAGUUGAUCAUAGUGUUUAUGAGAGCUUCUAUGCAAAUAUCACAUUUAACAUUUCUAUAUCUUUAUGUAUGCAUGAGGAUAUUAAUAAGAAAUUUUCCUUUUUAGAAAUUUGUACACAGAUUAUCUCUGUGUUCUUGAAUAUAAGAGUCUAAUCAUCCUAUCUUUAUCAAAUUUUCUCAUUUCAAUGAAAGUAAAAUAUACUAUAAUGUCAAGAUAUCAGGGGAAACUAACUGCAUAUAUAAUUUCUAAUAAAUUAUAAAGGAUCCAACGAAUUCAAAAUGACAACAAGGUAUUUUGGAUAAUUUUUUUUAAAUAUGUAGACUAAUUGGAUGAUUAAAUCACGUCGUAUGAAAUAUAACAUCAUUUUUCCAUAGUUUGCGAAUACACAUAGAAGUGCAUAAAUGAAGUUGGGUUAGGUAUUAUGUAACCAUAAACCUGAAGUCAUUUUAGAUUCUACUUGGGUGAAAAGGGGGUUUCACUUUGUGAGAGAAAGAUUGAUUAAAUAGAAACGCUUACCUAAAAGUGAUGCUACCUGGGAAAGUUCUCAAGAAUUAUGAGAUAGGUUCAUUAUUAUGUACCUGAAGGAUAUGGUUCCAGUGAAGGAGGGGGUAUUGACAUUUAAGGUACAUACAUGAAGGUUAUGGGAAAAUUCUCGAGAAUUAUGAGAUAGGUUCAUUACUAUGGACCUUGAGGACAAGGUUCUAGUGAAGGAGGGGGUAUUGACAUCCAAGGUACCUUCUCGAGAAUUAUGAACUAGGUUCAUUAUUAUGUACAUUGAGGAUAAGGUUCCAGUAAAGCAGCGGGUAUUGACAUUCAAGUACGAAUAAGAAGGUCAUGGGGAAGUUCUCAAGAGCUAUGAGAUAAGUCAAUUACUAUGGACCUUAAGGACAAGGUUCUAGUGAAGAAAGGGGUAUUGACAUCCAAGAUACAUACAAAAAGGUUGUAUGAAAGUUAUCAAUAAUUACGAUAUAGGUUCAUUACUAUGGACCUUGAGGGUAAGGUUCCAGUGAAGGAGGGGUAAGUCGUAAGAAAAUUUUCAAGAAUUAUGAGAUCGGUUCAUUAUUAUAGACCUUGAGGAUACGAUUUGAGUGAAGGAAGGGGUAUUGACAUUCAAGGUAUAUAUAGGAAGGCCACGACAAAAUUGUCAAGAAUUAUAAGAUAGGUUCAUUACUAUGGACCUUGAGGACAAGGUUCUAGUAAAGGAGGAGGUACUGACAUCCAAGGUAGAUACAGGAAGGUCAAGGAAAAAUUCCCAAGAAUUAUGAGAUAGGUUCAUUACUAUGCACCUUGAAAGAGAAAAUGAAGUUGUUUGUUUCUGAAGAAAAUGAUUUUAAGAGAAAAGAUGACUUUCUUUCUUAUUGAUUUUUCUUAAGUAUUUACAACUGAAUCAACUCAUCUUAUAUACACGCACAAGAUUGCAUCUUAAGCUAAUUACAUUCAGUUACACACACAUACGAAAUGACUAACAACAAUCUUAACAAUCUUGUGUUGAUCUGGCAACUUGCUUAAUUAACUCUGAUGAGAUGGCAUUGUUGAAUCGUUUGACUAACUAAGAUUGAAGCUUCUUCUCCUUCUUACUCAUACUCUCUGCGAGCUCAACACACUGAACUUCCUUAACAGCCCCCCUUAAACUCAAGGGGCAAGGCUGCACAUUGAGUUUUGAUCUCAGAUAGUUAAAAUGAACAAAAGAGAGGGGUUUUGUCAUGAUAUCAGCAAUAUGUUCUUCACUGGGACUGUACUGAAUUUUUAACUCCCCCGCAAUCACUUUGUUUCUGAUAAAGUGUAAGUCAAGCUCGACACUCGUCACUAUUAAUCUAUUCUACAAUAGAUUCGUGCACUUGUGAGUUCAAUAAAAUUUACACAACAAGUUUUUAGCGCCGUUGCCGGGGAGGUAAGUUAUUUUCAUUCGUGAAAUUAAUUUUUGUGAAUAAUUUCUUUUAAUUGUUUUCUUGUAAUUUUUUUAUAAAAAAAAAGAAAAAAAUGAAUCUACAUUUAGAGGUAAGAAUUUCUUUUCUUUUUCUCUUUUUUAAAAUUAUGUAAUUUAAUUUUCAAUUUAUUUUUCUUUGUAAUUUUUUUGUUUAUCUUAUUAAUUUAUUUUUAGUUAAUUUAUUUCACGUAUUUUUUUAAGUGUGUUUUUUAUAGAAAGAUUGUAACAGCGUGAUAAGGUUAGUACCGUAAUUUCUCCUUCUUGUUUAUUUUUAUUAAUUUUGUUCUUAUUUUUUUGUAUUCAUUGCAUGCAUGGUUGAAGGUCAUUAUUACCUAAUCUUGAGCCUAUAGAUCUUGAAUUUGAAAAAAAACUUCGCACACAUAAACACAUUGUAAUUAAAGAUAAAAGUGAAAUGGAUUUGCAACAACAACAAGCACAACCAGAGAGGCCAUUUAAGGACUAUUUCAGUCCCUUAGCUAAUUUGAACACAUCAUGCAUAAGAUACCCAAAUGUAGCUGCUACAAGUUUUGAACUAAAACCUAGUGUGCUAAAUUGUCUCCCAACAUUCUAUGGCUUAGAAAAUGAGGACCCAUAUAAUCAUCUGAAUGAUUUUCAUGCUGUUUGUCAAACUUUUAAAUAUGAGAAUUUUUCAGACGAUGAUGUUAAACUUAGAUUAUUCCCAUUUUCUUUAAAGGAUAGAGCUCGUUCAUGGUUAAAUACUCUGCCUGCUAAUAGCAUUACAUCAUGGGAACAAAUGGUAAUUAAAUUUUUAAAUAAAUAUUUCCCAGUGCAUAAAACUAAUGCUAUUCGCAAGGAAAUCUUAGAGUUUACCCAGAGAGAAGACGAACAAUUUUUCGAAACAUGGGAGCGAUUCAAUGGGCUACUCUUGAAGUGUCCGCAUCAUGGGUAUGAGAAAUGACAUCAAUGCUAAUACUUUUUGGAGGGAUUAUUGCCGAAUGUGCAAGAAUGACUAAUGGCAACAAGUGGAAGAGAGCUAAUGUCAAAAAGUGCAUCAGAGAUUUGGGAAUUCUUCUAGCGACAAGUGGAUAAUUCCCAACAACGGAGUUGGUCGCUCAGGAACACUAAAAGAAUUAAGGGAGUAAAUGAGGUUCACAUUGGCGAGUCAAGUUUAGAAAUUAAAGAAGUCAAAGCGAUAAUUGAAGGUCUCUCUCAACAAAUAGCAUCGUUAUCGACUGUUAAAUCAAUAAAGCCACAUGACCAUGACUCAUACUCAGAUCAAGCCAAUGCCAUAAGUGUAAUGAGAAAACCAUCAAAUUAUAACCCAUACUCCAAGACAUAUAACCCUGGAUGGAGAGACCACCCUAAUUUUUCAUGGCCUCAAGGAUUCUAACAAAAUGGACCAACAACUCCAGCUCUACCAAUGCAACCAAUUCCUCAAAUUCCUCAAGCCUCUUAGCCACUAUUUAGACCAUACAAUCAGAACCAGAACUACUCUCAACUCAGACCAUGGGAGGAUGCAUUCCAGAAUUUCAAGAAUGUUACUCACUUUAUGAUUGAGCAAUAAAACCGCACCAUUGAUGGACUACGAAAUGAGAUGAGAGCAGGCUUCAACUCACAAGCCCAAUCAGUUUCAAGCCUCGAGAAGAUAGUGGGAUAACUUGCUUCUUUAGUUCAGACCUUGACAAUGACUGUUGAGAAAGGAAAAUUUCGAAGUCAACCAGUGCCUAAUCCUAAAGGAGUACAUGAAGUAAGUAUCAGUUCACCACAGUAGCAUGGAGAGGUCAAAGCAGUCAUGACCUUGCGAAAAGGAAAAGAAGGCGACAAUAAAGUGGAGAUGCCAGUGAUAAAAGAAAAUCAAAUUGUACCUGUGAAUAUUGAGGACUUACCAUCGGAAGAGAAAGAAGAAACCAACUCAUGAGAAUAUGUUCCUAAAGCUCCAUUUCCUCAAAGGUUAGCUAAAGGAAAGAAGGAAAAAUCCACAGGUAAGAUUCUUGAAAUCUUCAAACAGGUAAGUGUUAACAUCCCUUUACUUGAUGCUAUAAAAUAAGUUCCAUCUUAUACUAAGUUUUUUAAAGACCUUUGUACUAAAAACAGAAACAUUCACGUUCAAAAGAAGGCAUUUUUAACAGAAAACAUUAGUUCUAUACUCCAACACAAAAUUCCUUUAAAAUGCAAAGACUCAAGCUCUCCCACUAUCUCAUGUAGUAUAGGGAACCACACAAUUGAGAAUGCUUUGUUGGAUUUAGGAGCUAGUGUAAAUCUGUUACCUUACUCAGUUUUCGUGAAACUUGAACUGGGAGAAUUACACCGAACUCCAGUGGUGUUACAAUUUACAGAUCGGUCCACGAAAAUACCUCGUGGUAUUAUGGAGGAUGUGCUUAUCCAGGUAGACAAGUUUUAUUUUCAUGUUGAUUUCAUUGUAAUUUACACUUAACCAAUAUAGGAUUCAAGGAAGCAUAUCCUCAUUAUUCUAGGCCGACCUUUUUUGGCAACUGCGGAUGCUCACAUUCAAUACAGGACUAGAAAUAUGCAGUUGUCCUUCGGCAAUAUGACUAUGGAGCUGAGCAUCUUCAACAUUGCCAAACAACCUCAUAAUGCAGAUGAUCCAAUUGUUGAUGUGGAGUUAAUAGAAGUAUUAGUUGAUAAUACUUUUGUUUCAAACCUUAGUGAUGAUCUUUUACAAACAUAUUUAACUGACUUUGGUUUCGAUUUUGAUAUUGACAGAUCGGUCAAUGAGGUCAACGCCCUACUUGACUCAGCACCAUCCAUGGACACUAAUAAAUGGAAGUCAAGAGUUGAACAACUAGCACCAUCGGAAAAGAAACUCAUCCCAUCACCAGAAUCACCACCGAAACUCGAGCUCAAACCAUUACCCAACACAUUAGAAUAUGCAUUUUUGGGAGAAGAAAACACUCUACCGGUAAUCAUCUUAUCAUCCCUAAACGACGAACAAAAAAAUAAGUUGUUGGAUGUUUUAAAAGAGCACAAAGGAGCAUUAGGAUGGACUAUAGCAGAUCUUAAAGGUAUAAACCCAGUAGACUGCAUGCAUUACAUUCACCUUGAUGAAAAUGCUAAACUUACUAAGGAAAUGCAACGUCGGUUAAAUCCUAACAUGAAAGAAGUUGUUAGAACUGAAGUUCUUAAGUUAUUAGACGUAGGUAUCAUUUAUCCAAUUUCUGAUAGUUCAUGGGUCAGUCCUGUAUAAGUUGUCCUUAAAAAGUCAGGAGUUACAGUAGUUACCAAUGCUGAUAAUGAAUUGAUACCAACUAGAGUAACUAUAUAAUGUCGUGUAUGCAUUGAUUAUAGAAAGUUGAAUUCUGUCACACGUAAAGACCAUUUUCCUUUACUAUUUAUUGAUCAAAUGCUUGAUAGAUUAACAGGCCAUGAAUUUUAUUACUUUCUAGAUGGCUACUCAGGAUAUAAUCAGAUUCCCAUAGCACCAAAAGAUCAAGAGAAAACCACUUUCACUUGCCCUUUUGGCACUUUUGCAUAUAGGAGGAUGCCAUUUGGAUUAUGUAAUGCACCUGCUACAUUUCAACGAUGCAUGUUAAGUAUUUUUUCUGAUAUGGUUGAACGAUUUCUUAAAGUCUUUAUGGAUGACUUUUCUGUCUUUGGUGAUUCAUUUAAUCAAUGUUUACAUCAUAUAACCUAGUUCUGCAGAGAUGUAUUGAGAAGAACUUAGUCUUAAAUUGGGAGAAGUGCCAUUUUAUGGUAAAACAAUGUAUUGUUCUCAGUCACAUCAUUUCGAGCAAAUGUAUUGAGGUUGACAAAGCCAAAGUAGAUCUCAUUUUUAAUCAUCCUCAACCCAAAACAGUCAGAGAAGUAAGAUCUUUCCUUGGGCAUGCUGGUUUUAUAGAUGUUUCAUUAAAGAUUUUAGCAAAGUUUCUAGACCCUUAUGCAAUCUACUUGCUAAGGAUGUACCUUUUGUCUUUGAUGAUUCAUGUCUUGUGGCAUUUGAAAAAUUAAAGCAGUUGUUGACAUCAUCACCCAUCAUUUAGCCCCUAAACUGGAGCUUACCAUUUGAACUCUUGUGUGAUGCAUUUGAUUAUGCAGUAGGAGCAGUUUUAGGAUAAAGAGUUGAUCGAAUUCCCCAUGUUAUUUACUAUGCUAGUAUGACAUUGAAUGAUGCACAAUUAAACUAUUAAACUAUUAAAAAAGAAAUGCUGGCAGUAGUGUUUGCAUUGGAAAAAUUUCGAUCUUAUUUCAUUGGUUGUAAAAUAAUUGUAUUCACGGAUCAUGCUGUUCUUAAAUAUCUUCUCACAAAGAAAUAUGCAAAAGCUAGACUAAUUCGUUGGGUGUUACUUUUGUAGGAAUUUGACUUAGAAUUCGACUUAGAAUUCAAAGAUAAGAAAGGCACAGAAAAUGUUGUGGCAGACCAUCUCUCUCGUCUCCAUUUUGAUACAAUUACAGAGCCAUUUACAUUGAAUGAGUCAUUUCUUGAUGAACAAUUAAUGAGUGUGGAAGUAUUACCUUGGUAUGGUGAUAUAGUUAAUUAUUUUGUUACAGGUCAACUUGCAGAGCAUUGGACCAAGCAAGACAAAGCCAAUUUUUUUUGCAGAAAUAAAGAAUUUCUUUUGGGAUGACCCGUAUUUGUUCAAGUAUUGUGCAGAUCAAAUUGUUAGACGAUGUGUUUCAGAAAGAGAAAUUCAUAAUAUUCUUUCAUUCUGCCAUGAACAAGCUUGUAGAGGCCAUUUCAGUGCUAAGAAAACAGCAACUAAUGUUUUACAAUGUGGUUUCUAUUGACCAACUAUAUUUCGAGAUGCUUACACUUUCUGUUCUUCAUGUGAUAGGUGUCAACGAAUGGGGGAGCAUUACACGAAGGAACAUGAUACCAUUAAAUCUAAUUUUAAUGGUUGAGAUUUUUUAUGUAUGGGGUAUCGAUUUCAUGGGACCCUUUCCCCCUUCUUUUGGCCAUCAAUACAUAUUGAUUGCUGUUGACUACGAAUCAAAAUGGGUAGAAGUAAUUCCAUGUAGAACCAAUGAUCACAAGGUGGUGAUAGCAUUUUUGAAAAGCAACAUUGUUUCACGUUUUGGAUUCUCUCGAGCAAUAAUCAGUGAUGGUGGUGCCCACUUUUGUAACAAAGCAUUCAAAGCUCUUUUGACAAAGUAUUCAAUCAUUCACAAAGUGGCGACCCUAUAUCAUCUGCAAACCAAUGGCUAAGUUGAGAUCUCCAAUCGAGAAAUAAAGCACAUAUUAGAAAAGAAGGUGAGGCCAGACAGAAAAAAUUGGUCAUUAAGACUUGAUGAUGCAUUAUGGGCAUAUAGAACGACUUUCAAGACCCCGAUUGGGAUGUCACCCUACAGGCUAGUGUAUGGAAAAGCUUGCCACCUACCUGUGGAACUCGAGCAUUGUGCAUAUUGGGCCAUCAAGAAAUUCAACUUUGACAUGCAGCAAGCUAGCUCAAAAAAAAGAUUACAACUGGCAGAACUUGAAGAAAUUCGCAAUGACGCAUACGAAAAUGCCAAGAUUUACAAGCAGCGGAUGAAAGUCUUUCAUGACAAGCAAAUUAUGAGAAACUCUUUCACUCCAGGUCAAAAAAUGCUUUUAUUCAAUUCUCGCUUGCACCUAUUCCCAGGUAAGUUAGCUCUCGAUGGUCUGGCCCCUUUAUUGUUCACACUGUUUUUUCACAUGGGGCAAUUGAAAUUAAAGACCCAAAGAACGGUGUAAUGUUUAAAGUUAAUGAUCAAAGAUUAAAGUCAUAUCUAGAGUACCAACCACAUGGAGAGGACACCGAAAUAAAUUUGAGUGACCCACUAGAUUUGAAUUGAGUUUUUUCUUUCUUUUUGGUGAUUUGAUUUUUUUUCCUUUCUUUUUAUUAUUCUUUUGCUAAUUGAAAUUAUUUUUGCACAAGUGUGUUUGUUUAACCAUUAAGUUUUCUCUUUUCAUUGUUAAUCAUGAAUGUCAUAGCUAAACAGUUCCUCCUGGACAUUCUUAAACCACUUCAAUGUGUAAAAUCUCAUCUUAAAAGGUAGAUUCAAUUUUGUAAAACACAUUGUAUUUGGGCUCUGCAACUUAGUAUCCUAUGUUGAGGAUUUAGAAAGCCAACUCAGAGACAUUGAGAGAAGUGUCUACAACAUCCAGUUGGAGCUUGAGGUAAAUUCAAUAAGAGAACGAUUGUAAUUGUCUUUAUGUGUUUUAGUUUCUUUUUCUUUGUUUGUGUGCUUUAGUUUGUUGCCCUGGUGAAGUGGUGGAUAACAGUACUCCGUGACAAUCAAGUCGGUUACUUCAGUUUCCCAUAAUAACUGAUAUUCUGAGGUGAAGGUAUAGACAUAAACGAGAUUCUAGCAAAGCUUCACAAUCGAUUCCUUUCACUUCCUCAGAAUGCCCUCCUUACAAUCUAUAAAGCUCGGUUCGAACGCAUGCGAUUGCUCAUGAGGAAUAACAUACCUGCUGACAUCCGUUAGUUAAUCGAGGAUAAAGUACGAUUAACAGGUGAGUUACCUCCAAAAUUUAUUGCAUACAUGCCUGGUUGUGGUAAAGAAAAUUAUGCAAGAAAACAAAGAGUUCGAAAAAUUUCUAUUGCUUGUCAUAAGUGUGCCAGAAUGAGUUACAAUAAAAAACCAUGCUCUUUAGGAAUGUUGUCUGAUAACAGGGAAGAUAACAUUCAAUUCAUUAUGGAUGGCUUGAAUAAGGAGUCAUUGGAUGAUAUCCUUUUGUCUCUUGAAAGGCAUCCCAGUGGAUAUGUGCAAGGAGCGAUUCUCCAGUUAUGACCAUUAUUCCAGAAAGAGCAUGAACGAUAUAGUCUAGGGAAUCUGACUAUAAAUGACCCUGUUUGCCAGUUUAUAAGAAAACUGGAUGGGAAGCCCAUCCUCGACCCAUAAAGGGCGUUCAAGCCGUUUCUGGACGUAAAACCAAAGGAAAAUGUGAGCCACAGUCGCAAUUACCUGUAAAUAUCCUUUUACUUCACUGUUAUUUUAUUUCACUGUUGUUUUAUCAUUUGUAUUAUUGUCUUUAAAUAAUUUUAUUUUAUCAUUGUUUCUUUUUCUUUUUACUAUUUUCUUUUUGACUUGCGAGCCAUGUGCUUUACGCGUUAUUUGACACUGACAUGCCACCUCAUACAUAUUUGUGACCCACUGUCACCAAGAUUCUUAAAUAAGACUUUUUGUUAAGCACUUACAAAUUAUUUUUGAGAAAUAUUCCAAUGGCAGCUACUCCCAAUAGACAAUUCAAGAACAUUUGUGUACUUUUUGGAUUUAAUUAUGGCAAACAUAAAGAGUUCGUUGAAGCAGCCGUAGAUCUUGGUCGAAGCAUAGCAGAGAGAAAAUUACACUUGAUGUAUGGAGGAGGUAACCGAGGGUUAUCAAAAUUGGUCUCAGAAGCUGCUUCUGUCAGAGGAAGCCAAGUGUUAGGCAUCAUCCCAAGAGCCCUAAAACCUUUGGGCAAUUUGUCUGAUCCACCGACUGGAGAAGAGUUAGUCGUCUCAGGUAUGCAAGAAAUAAUAACUGAAAUGCUUAAUCAUGCUGAUGCUUUUAUUUUCCUACCAGGAGAUCUUGCAACUCUAGAGGCACUUAUCACACUAGCAUCUUGGGCCCAUCUGCACAUUCACCAGAAAUCCAUCGGUUUGUUAAAUGUCAAUAACUUUUAUGAUGGCUUCAUCGCAUUUCUUAACCAUGCAAUAAAAAACUAUUUCAUUCAUUCCAUAGCAAAAAAGCCUUUUAUUUGUGCUCACACUGCUAAUGAGCUACUUGAUAUGUUACAAGCUUAUAGACCGGAGCCAGACCCCUGGACCUUUGUGUUGGAGUGUCCAAAUAAUGAUGAUAACAGUAGCCGCAGUAAGAAGUACAAAUUAGAUUUAACUCUCCGUCUAUAAAUAUUUUCUUCUGUGUUACACCACCCAGGUGAUGUCUUCUAAACUCUGCUUCUUUCCUUUAAAACAUUGAGGACAAUAUUUCGUUUUGGUUGGGGGGAGGGAAUAAUCGACAAUUGUGGAAUCUUGGUUAAGUUUUUACUGAUUUUUUAUUGUAGAAACUAACUGUUGCUAACUUUUUGUGUUGAAGAUGGCUGAAUAUGGAGUGUAGUGACUCUAGAAACGCAUCUUCAUCGUUUGAAAAAAAACAAAAGAAAAAAAAAGAAAAAAAAAUUCAGACAUUUUCUUUUUCUUUAUUAAGUUUUGAUGUUUAUUUUUCUUCUUCUUUUUAAUUUCUCCUUUAUAAAUAUACAUUUUUAAAAUUUUUAGUCGAAGAUGGCUGAAUAUGGAGUGUAGUGCCUCUAGAAACUCAUCUUCUUAGUUAAAAAAAAAACCAUUUUCUUUUUCUAUCAUUUUAAAUGUAACUUUUCUAAUUAUUUUUUCGGCAUCAUUUUCAUAUUUCUGCAUGCAUAUUUUCCUUUCAUGCUUAGAAUAGGUUGGAGGGUAGAAUGUUGUUUGAAAAAAAAAUUGUGUGAUUUGUUUUAACAUUGGAUAACAUGAUGAAUUGCAAAUUUUAGUAUUUGUAUUAUCUUUGGUCUUAAAUGAUGUUACGUCAUGUUUGCUACUCUACAUGUUGAUGUCAGAGACAAAUAUGAGUUGCUUGAAGGAAUGAACAUGUCAUAAUAAGUACCAAGUGAGUUUUUGAGCCUAUCAUUUUUCUUGGAGAGUAACCCUUUUGUCCAUUCUUGAUACAACUUAGCAGUUUAUUAUUUUAUACACGAUGUCUAGAUUUCUUUUGAGUUAACCCUUAAAAAAAAUUGUUGUAAAAUUAAAAAAAAAGAGAAAAAAAAUGCGUGUUGCUACAUCUAGAGGCUCAUCUAACUAGUAGAUAUGGAAGAUUAUUUAGAGCCCUAAAAAAUUAUGGAAAUGCCAUCUUUAAUUCGUUUGAGCCUUUCUAGCCAUCCCUUUUGUGAAAUAUCCAUAGUUAACCCUUUUGAGCCUUAAAAAAAAAACCUUUUCUUUCUCAACUUAUCAUCUUGACCCACUCCGAUUUUGAGUAUUACCCGAUGUCUUAUAAGUUCCAUCACCUAUUUAUGUUUGAGAAAAAUGUAAAUAAUUAUUUUGUUCAAUGACGUUUUGCCAAACAAAAGCAAAAAACAAAACAAAAAAAUAAAAAUAAAAAACAAAAAUUGUUGUUUCAAAAAGAAAAAAAAGGUGAAAUCUACCUUGCAACUUCCAAAAAAAAAAUCUCUGCAUUUUUCUCAAACAUACACUUUAUUUUCCUUAUUUCCUUUCUUUGUUAGCCAUGUCCCUAACCUACGUUACGUCCUAAUAAAAGUCCUUCUUGAUUUUAGGGAACUAUAGUCUGAAGUAGAAGCUAGUUAUAUAGGCUAAAAAGAUGUAGUUGUGCAUAAUAAAAAAAUAAAAAAAAAGAUAAAUAAAUUGGGUUGACUAGCAUUUUUGUUUGACUUGAGAUCGUAUUAUUUCUAAGCUGAGAGCAAAUUUCUUUCAUCUUGGUGGGAGCAUGUGAUAUCACUUCUUUAUUCUUUUCUCUCUCAAUUACCAUUUAUUGGAAUGACUAUUUUUAUUGGAUUUAAUUUCUUUGUGAGAGUGUUAUUAUUUCCAGUGAGAUUUUGGGGUUUAACAUAUCAUUCUUGAAAGUAGCUGUGACAAAGUCUACUGGGCUGAUUCAUAUGGAUGAUUGAUGUGGGUGUGUUGUUUCUUUAGACUGGAGAUAAUGCUUAUACUUUUAUUUGAUUACUAUCAUUUGUCUGAUUGAAUAAACAUGAUUGUUUAAAAAAAAAAUUCAUUUUGGAUUUGAAUUUUAUUUUCACUUUAUUUGCUAGGGACUAGCAAUAAGCUAGUUGGGGGGUGUGUUGAGAGUUAGAAAAUGUAUAUUUAUAAAGGAGAAAAUCGUCAUUUUAUAUUUUAAGUUUUACUAACACCCUUACUUUUAUGUAUUUAACCUUCUUGUGAUUUAAUUACGUGUGUUUUAUUUUAAUUAAGUAUUUUAUGUAUUUUAGGGGCAUCUUGGUCAUUUCACAGUGAACGAGAAAUCAGUAGGCAAAACGGACAUUACUUUUGAACUUAGGACAGUCGAAAACCUUAGAAGGGGCAUAAAAAUAAAAAUGUCACUGUUCACAUGUACGGUAUUGUCUACGUUGCUGUUUACGACACUGUUCAUAUAGAUGGAAUGAUGAUGUGGCAUUAACCGAUGAUGUGGCAUUAACCGAUGAUGUGGCAUUGACUGAUGAGGUGUCACGAUCCUGUUGGACUAAAAUUUUUAUGUACUGUUGAUCGAUGACUUGGCAGCAUAUCAGUGGACCAAAAAUCUCGCGUACAGUACAUGCAUUACACAUGAUUAUUUUCAACCAAAUUGUGUCACUGUUCAAACCGCGUGGUCAAACCCUGUCACUGUUCAAACCGCGUACUGUUGAUGCAUACUGUUGACUGAUGACGUGGCGCAAUCUUGAGCGUCCAAACUGUUUUUAAUCCGAUGGCCAUGAUUUACUCAAUGUAUCUAUAAAAAAGGGGACCUUUCCCCCCUAAUUUGGCAUCUCUGAAUCCAUUUUUGGACUCCAUUUUCUGCAAUUCCUUGUCUAUCUCAUAUUUUCUACGUAUUUUAAUAAAUUCUCAUUUUACCCCUAGUUCAAUUAUGAGUAGCUAAUUUUCUUUCAAGCUUGGGUUGAAGGUGAAGUCUCAACAUGUGUCAUGGGCUUUAUUUGGUAAAUUUAUUUUCUCUUUCCCUCUAGUUUUUGUGGAUUUUUUGACUUCUUGUCGACAAAUAAUAAUAAUUUUGUCUAGAUACCGCCCUGGUUUUACUGGCUCCCUAGUACAAGGUUAUUAUUAUUUGGCACGGUAAGCCCUUAACACCAUAUUGAUUAAAGUGUGGUUCAUGAGGUGUGGAUUCCCCCUUCAUGAUUUAAUUGGCACUAAUAAGGAAUAUUUAGCCCAUGGUGCAUGUUGAUACGGAUCCAGAUACCCAAGUGCUUUAUUUCAAUAAAUUUCUCUUCAGUUUAUUCUCACCAUUUUAAUUUAAGUUUUAGAAUAUUCCAAAUUAUUUCCACCAAAAAUCCAAUCACCCUCAUACAAAAUUAAUUCUACAUAUAAUUAAAAUCCACCUCCUUGUGGGAUCGACACUCGUCACCAUUAAUCUAUUCUACAAUAGAUUCGUGCACUUGCGAGUUCAAUAAAAUUUUCACAACAAAUCACCAAUAUGAGUAAUGACCAAACCUUGUCCAUUGCCAAUGGUCAGCUGGUCUGAGCAUUUGAAUUCUUCUCUCACAUGCAUAUUUGCCAUGUUGUUAGUAAUAUGAUGUGUAGCUCCACUGUCAAGAUACCACCCUUCAUCAGUUGAACCUUCAACAUUUGCAACAUAGGCUUCAGGCAGGGUAAAUGCUUCUGAUGGAUAAGAAGAAACAUGAGAGUAGUUCAUUGACUGAUAGCUAGGAUCUGAGACUUCAUAAGGAUCUUCAAUUGGUGAUGGUUGAUAAGAAAAUGGCUCAAAAUUAGCCAUAUAUGCAAUCUUUGAUCCUAUCAUUUUUCCUCUACCAAAUUAUUUAGGUGAAGAAAAAUAGGCAUCACCAUACCUAUACCAACAGGCAUCAGCAGUAUGUCCUUACUUGUGACAUAUUUGACAUAUAGGCAUUGGCUCAUUUAACUCACCACCAACAACAUAAUGCUUGAAUUGUUAGCAGGAGAGAACAUAUGCCUCAUUUGUGGUGGCCUAUGAGAUUGCAUGAACUGAGUUCUUCCAAAGCCAACAAUAUUUCCUCUACCAAAACCACUAGCAGUACUACCACCAGCUGGAAAACCUCUAGGAUAAGAAGCAGAAAACAUGCCUCGACCAAAAUUCUAACCUCUGCCUCCAGAUUGUCCAUGAGUAGCAUUACUAGCAUUACCAUAAGCAUUUCUCCUAGGAGCACCCCUGAUAUGUGAAUAGUUUGUAUUCAUCAUACUAUAAUUUGCAUUAAACAUGGCCUGAGGGUUCUAAUUUUGUUCCAGCCUAGCUUCAUGUGUCAGUAAAAGUGAAUAUGCAUCAUCAUAAAUCAUCUUAUUAGCUGUAAUUAUUGAAGCCAAAUCCAGAUAGCUAGAUCCAAGUCCAUUUAGUGUUCUUAUCAGUAAAUCCUUUUCAGUUAUGUUAUCACCAACACAUGCAAGUUUAUUAGCUAGCAUUUUCAUUUUCGAACAAUAUUCUUCAAUAGACAUUGACUUUUUCUCAGAGUAUCUAAUUCAUAUCGAAGUUGCAUUAUUUUUGCUUCAGAUUGUACUCCAAAUUACUUUUCAAUAGAUCUCCAUAUAUCAAAAGAAGUAUCAUAGUUAACAACUGAGCUUAAGAUACCUUAACUAAUUGUUGAAAGAAGCCAGCUAAGUAGAGUUUGAUCUUGAGCUCUCCAGUUGACAUAAGCUGGAUUUUCAAUCCUUUCCACAAAUCCAUCAGCUUGUGACUGAGAAAUAUAUUGUUCUGGAAUAUUUUGCUUCUCUGAGAUUAAUCCUUCAAGUCGGUUUCCUCUGAUUGAAGUGAUCACUUGUUUGUGCCAGAUAAGGAAGUUUGAUCGAUCGAGUUUUGCUGUUGUAGCAAAAGUGAAUGAAGUUUGUGUGGAAUGCAUUUGAUUGAUAUUUGAACAGUUUUGAUUUAUUGUACUGGAACUAGCCAUGGAUGGCUCUGAUACCAUGAAAGAGAAAAUGAAGUUGUUUGUUUAUGAGGAAAAUGAUUUUAAGAGAAAAGGUGACUUUCUUUCUUAUUGAUUUUUCUUAAGUAUUUACAACUGAAUCAACUCAUCUUAUAUACACGCACAAGAUUGCAGCUUAAGCUAAUUACAUUCAGUUACACACACAUACGAAAUGACUAAUAACAAUCUUAACAAUCUUGUGCUGAUAUGGCAACUUGCUUAACUAACUCUGAUGAGCUGGCAUUGCUGAAUCGUUUGACUAACUGAGACUGAAGCUUCUUCUCCUUCUUACUCCUACUCUCUGUGAGCUCAGCACACUGAACUUCCUUAACAAACCUUGAGGACAAGAUUCCAGUAAAGGAGGGGUAUCGACAUCCAAAAUACAUGCAAGAAGAUAAUGGGAAGAUGCAGGGGUGUAGCCAGCAUAGGACGUGCCCUAGUUGGCUUUUAAAUUUUUUUUU